rnacentral:lncRNA from 1 species
AUUGUUGUGGUAGCCCUAGGGUAGUGACAGCCCUAACGGUCGACGUAUUCCACCACGUUCGGAUCGGUGUUUGUAGGACCGUAGUCAGACCUUCCUAGCCCCCUUCUCAUCUCUUUCUGUGGUUAGUGCUCUGAUGUCCCGAUAUAGAUAAUCUUGAAGUAAUUCUUGAUUCUUAGAUCAACUAGAGAACUCUCAGGAAACUUCCUCUCUUCCUACCAAAAAUACUUAUAUAGUUAUCCUUGGGCGAUCUUGAUUCUUAAUUAGUACACUCACGUUCCCUGUGGAAAAUCGAUACUCUGGAAUACUCCCGGGUGAAGGCUACAUCAGUAUCCGUGCGCUUGCGGAUUUUUCUGUUUGCGUUUAAAAUACCCAACACAAGCCUCGGGUUAGGAGAACUUGAUCCCGCAGG